GGCGGCCUUAUGGGCUUUGAGGAGAAGAACCCAGGUAAGCUGCUUAGCGUUCUUGUUACGGGACUUGUCUCGGGGACGAACCGGCGAGUCGCCGAUGAGGAAAUCUUCCUCGGAUGGACCCUCAAGCUCGACCAUUGACCAGUUGGGGUUCUCCAUUUUGACCACCACGGGUGUGCCUCUGUGGCCCUCCUUAGCCCACCAAUCGAACGACGGUGCCAUUGCCGUUAAAUUUGGUAUUUUGGGUCUGAUCUAUAAAAAUAAAC
rnacentral:misc_RNA from 1 species